rnacentral:rRNA from 1 species
UACGUAGGGUGCAAGCGUUGUCCGGAAUUAUUGGGCGUAAAGAGCUCGUAGGCGGUCUGUCGCGUCGGUAGUGAAAACUCAGGGCUUAACCCUGAGCCUGCUUCCGAUACGGGCAGACUAGAGGUAUGCAGGGGAGAACGGAAUUCCUGGUGUAGCGGUGAAAUGCGCAGAUAUCAGGAGGAACACCGGUGGCGAAGGCGGUUCUCUGGGCAUUACCUGACGCUGAGGAGCGAAAGUGUGGGGAGCGAACAGG